AAGUCGUAACAAGGUUUCCGUAGGUGAACCUGCGGAAGGAUCAUUAACACGUAUCCAACGUUAAACAACCCUGUGAACUUUCAGCCUGCUCUUGCAUCCCAUGAGGAACAGCAAUCCCGGUAAAUCAUUGCCAAACAGUUUUGAUUCGGGACCUCUGUCCAAAGGAGUGUGCAAUUGAGCGGUAGAGGCAGUGGCAUGGCUUCCCCAAGUAGUCAGUCGGUUGCUGGAGGUCGAUCACCGACCGGCAGACAUGUCACAGGGUCACCACGCCCCUUAAUAACCCCACUUUUAAAUGCCCCGCCUAGUGGUAACGCGCUAGGUAAAAAAAACCGAACAACUGUUAACAAUGGAUAUCUUGGUUCUC
rnacentral:misc_RNA from 1 species